rnacentral:rRNA from 1 species
UACAGAGGUCUCAAGCGUUUGUUCGGAUUCAUUGGGCGUAAAGGGUGUGUAGGUGGCGCGCUAAGUCGGGUGUGAAAUUUCGGAGCUUAACUCCGAAACUGCAUUCGAUACUGGCGUGCUUGAGGACUGGAGAGGAGACUGGAAUUCAUGGUGUAGCAGUGAAAUGCGUAGAGAUCAUGAGGAAGACCAGUGGCGAAGGCGGGUCUCUGGACAGUUCCUGACACUGAGACACGAAGGCCAGGGGGAGCAAAACGGG